UUAAAUGGAAUAAAAUGUACCAAUCCUCAUAUGUUGACCAAUAACAUUGAAAGUCAAGGUCAAACAAUCAAAAACAGAAGUGAGAUGAAGAUUGGAAGUCAAGAAAAGAAUAAAAUAUUUUUGGCAUUUUUUAAUAUUAAAAUAAACUUGAAUUAAAAUAAAAUGGAAAGGUCAAACUUCAAAAUCACUUCAAAUCAACCUUG
rnacentral:lncRNA from 1 species